UACGUAGGCAGCGAGCGUUGUUCGGAGUUACUGGGCGUAAAGAGUGCGUAGGCGGUGCUCUAAGUUUGGUGUGAAAUCUCACGGCUCAACUGUGAGGGUGCGCCGAAAACUGGAGUGCUCGAGUAUGGGAGAGGUAAGCGGAAUUCCUGGUGUAGCGGUGAAAUGCGUAGAUAUCAGGAGGAACACCUGCGGUGUAGACGGCUUACUGGACCAUGACUGACGCUGAGGCACGAAAGCGUGGGGAGCAAACAGG
rnacentral:rRNA from 1 species